rnacentral:rRNA from 1 species
AUGGACAAGAUAAAUGUACUUGCCCAGUCUGGACUGUCCAUAAUUGAAGUCAUGGCGAUUUCCAUAAUGCGCAGUGUCCAACCACUCCAAUCAAGAGGAUUCCCCAUGUGGAACUACAACGGGGAGGAUGAUACAUCCUGCUAUGGGCGCAAGGGUCCGGAUAACUUGACUGCCCUGGCCGCCAUGUUGGCUGAUCUUUACAAAGGGGAGAAAGAAGAAUUCACUCGCCUCAAGUGCCGAGAUGGCUUUUCCAUGUACAACCCCCCUAGUUGGGAAUGGAGGAAGGCUACUGCGGGGAUCUACAGCCCCGCUCUACAGCCGGAGGACCAUAAUCGGGACCUGGAUCUCGGAUUCGAGGAGGAUCCGGAUAUAUCCUUGGAGCUCAAGGAGGGGGUCUUCUAUCAGGUGAGCUAUGAUGGCACAGAAGUGGCCAUCGAAGCCGAUUACCCCGGCCUCCUUCCGUCUUCCCAUGGGCGGCGCUCUUCUCGCCAAGCUGCAUCGGGAUCGUCCCUUGAAAGGAUAUGCCGACAAAAGGCAGAUCUUCGAAAAGAAAGGCAGACAGUGAUUCUUCCAAGCUUCGUCCUUCAUCAAAAAGAGACCUCGCAGGAUACACGUCUGUCAACCCGACCCCGGACCCUGCAUCUAGGGCUGGAGUCGAUACGGGUGCCAUGCCAGACUGUUCUCUCUUCGACGAUUUGGACAAUGUAUCCGUCACCAACUCCGAGGUGGAGAGUGCCAUGA